GGACUACCGGGGUUUCUAAUCCUGUUUGCUCCCCACGCUUUCGCGCCUCAGCGUCAAUAGUCGUCCAGGCAGGCGCCUUCGCCUCCGGUGUUCCUUCACAUCUCUACGGAUUUUACCCCUACACGUGAAAUUCCCCUGCCCCCUCCGACAUUCUAGACUAGCAGUUUCAGACGCAGUUUCGAAGUUGAGCUUCGAGAUUUCACAUCUGACUUGCUGAUCCGCCUGCGCGCGCUUUACGCCCAAUGAUUCCGAACAACGCUUGCACCCUUCGUAUUACCGCGGCUGCUGGCAC
rnacentral:rRNA from 1 species